rnacentral:rRNA from 1 species
AGAGUUUGAUCCUGGCUCAGAACGAACGCUGGCGGCAGGCUUAACACAUGCAAGUCGAACGCACCUUUCGGGGUGAGUGGCAGACGGGUGAGUAACGCGUGGGAACGUGCCCUUCAGUUCGGGAUAACCCAGGGAAACUUGGGCUAAUACCGGAUACGUGCGAGAGCAGAAAGAUUUAUCGCUGAAGGAUCGGCCCGCGUCUGAUUAGCUAGUUGGUAGGGUAAUGGCCUACCAAGGCGACGAUCAGUAGCUGGUCUGAGAGGAUGAUCAGCCACAUUGGGACUGAGACACGGCCCAAACUCCUACGGGAGGCAGCAGUGGGGAAUAUUGGACAAUGGGCGCAAGCCUGAUCCAGCCAUGCCGCGUGAGUGAUGAAGGCCUUAGGGUUGUAAAGCUCUUUCGUCCGGGACGAUAAUGACGGUACCGGAAGAAGAAGCCCCGGCUAACUUCGUGCCAGCAGCCGCGGUAAUACGAAGGGGGCUAGCGUUGUUCGGAAUCACUGGGCGUAAAGGGCGCGUAGGCGGCUUUGUAAGUCGGGGGUGAAAGCCUGUGGCUCAACCACAGAAUUGCCUUCGAUACUGCAUGGCUUGAGACCGGAAGAGGUAAGUGGAACUGCGAGUGUAGAGGUGAAAUUCGUAGAUAUUCGCAAGAACACCAGUGGCGAAGGCGGCUUACUGGUCCGGUUCUGACGCUGAGGCGCGAAAGCGUAGGGAGCAAACAGGAUUAGAUACCCUAGUAGUCC